rnacentral:rRNA from 1 species
UUGAAAGGGAAACGAUUGAAGUCAGUCGUACCGACGAGAAAUCGGCUUUUCGAAUGUGCAUUUGUGGGCGUAUGAGAUCUUCAUUGUUUGCAAUAUGUAUGUUUCUUUGGUGUACUUUUUCGUAUGGUAGGUCAACGUCGGUUUUGAUCGCCAUAAAAUGACCGGAGGAAUGUAGCUUCGGCUUCGGUUGAAGUGUUAUAGCCUUUGGUAGAUGUGGUGAUUAGGACCGAGGAUUGCAACGAAUACCUUUUAGGCUAUCCGUCUGACCUCUGAAAGUUACUUAGGUGCCGAAAGCUUGCUUACGGUCAUUUAAGUUGACGGUCAAUAGGUUAGAACGCGAUUACAUUCGUUAAGGAUGUUGACGUA